AACGAACGCUGGCGGCAUGCCUAACCCAUGCCAGUCGAACUAUGCUUUCGGGCAUAGUGCCGCACGGGUGCGUAACGCGUGGGAAUCUGCACUCAGGUUCGGAAUACCAGUUGGAAACGACUGCUAAUACCGGAUGAUGACGUUAAGUCCAAAGAUUUAUCGCCUGAGGAUGAGCCCGCGUAGGAUUAGCUAGUUGGUGUGGUAAGAGCGCACCAAGGCGACGAUCCUUAGCUGGUCUGAGAGGAUGAUCAGCCACACUGGGACUGAGACACGGCCCAGACUCCUACGGGAGGCAGCAGUGGGGAAUAUUGGACAAUGGGCGCAAGCCUGAUCCAGCAAUGCCGCGUGAGUGAUGAAGGCCUUAGGGUUGUAAAGCUCUUUUACCCGGGAUGAUAAUGACAGUACCGGGAGAAUAAGCUCCGGCUAACUCCGUGCCAGCAGCCGCGGUAAUACGGAGGGAGCUAGCGUUGUUCGGAAUUACUGGGCGUAAAGCGCACGUAGGCGGCUUUGUAAGUUAGAGGUGAAAGCCUGGAGCUCAACUCCAGAAUUGCCUUUAAGACUGCAUCGCUUGAAUCCAGGAGAGGUGAGUGGAAUUCCGAGUGUAGAGGUGAAAUUCGUAGUUUUCGGACGAACACCCGGGGGAAGGCGCUCCACUGGACUGUUAUGACGCCGAGGUGCAAAGCGUGGGGGGCAAACAGGAUUAGAUACCCUGGUAUUCCACCCGUUAAACGAGAUAACUAGCUGUCCGGGAACUUGUUUUUGGUGGCGCAGUUAACGCAUUAAGUUUCCGC
rnacentral:rRNA from 1 species